UACGUAGGGAGCAAGCGUUGUCCGGAUUCACUGGGUGUAAAGGGUGCGUAGGCGGGAGAAUAAGUCAGCGGUGAAAUCUUACGGCUUAACCGUGAAACUGCCGAUGAUACUGUUUUUCUUGAGUUCGGGAGAGGUUGAUAGAAUUCCAGGUGUAGCGGUGAAAUGCGUAGAUAUCUGGAAGAAUACCAGUGGCGAAGGCGGUCAACUGGCCCGAAACUGACGCUGAGGCACGAAAGCGUGGGUAGCGAACAGG
rnacentral:rRNA from 1 species